AGGGGGUGAAACGGCCCGUUCCCCCUAAAAGCACAACGAGCCGUCAUUCGCGUGUGGCUCUCCCGGAAACAAUUCGCGUUCGGGGAGAAGUAGGUUGCAAAGCUGAACUUAAGGAAUUGACGGAAGGGCCCCCAGGAGAUGGGCUGCGCUUAAUUUGACUCAACACGGGAAAACUCACCCGGCCCGGACACCGUGAGGUUGACAGAUUGAUAGCUUUUCAUGAUUCGGUGGUUGGUGGUGCAUGGCCUUCUUAGUUCGUGGAUCGAUUUGUCUGGUUUAUUCCGAUAACGAGCGAGACUCCAGCCUACUAAAUAGUGCGGGCAUUGCUUCUUGCCUCGCAUUCUUAGAGGGAUUGGCUGCGUCUAGCGGCACGAACGGAGCAAUAACAGUUCUGUGGAUGCCCCUUAGAUGUCGGGGGCUGCACCCCUAACUGGCAAGGGCAGCGUGUUCCAUCCUCAAGGAGUGUAAACCUUGAAAUUUGCCGUGAUUGGGCGAAAUUGCAUUAUUUUCCCGGACGAGGAAUCCU
rnacentral:rRNA from 1 species